UUAUAAAAAAUGUUCACCACGUUUAGAAAGAAAAAAAAUAUAUAAAAUUUGCUAUGAGAAAUAUAAUCAUAAUCAUUAUUUACACUCGUAGUCCUUAAGUGUUUUAGGGCCUAGAGUUUGUUUACAGUUUUCAGAACGGCGUAGUGGGGAUGGUGGCGUCGGCGGUGCUAGUGGUGGCGGUGACGCUGGAAUAGACAAAAUCUUCCUGAGAGACAACAGAGGCUGUGAGAGGAGGCAGUGGACUGGCAGGAGGAGUGGCAGUGCUCAUGAUGCUGGCUUGAGCAACCUUGUAGUGUCGUUGGCCUUGCAGUGAGAUGCUGGGCUGGAGAUCAUUAUUGGUUGAGCAAGGUUGUCAAGAGGGUGGAGCUCCCCAGCCUCAUCUAACAAGGCUGAUGCAAGGAUGGAGUUCCCCAUCCUCACCUUGCAAGCCUCAGUUAUCUCCUGUUGUUAUCAGAAGACAAACCUUUGAUCCUUAUACCUGAAAACAUGAUUUAGAGGAUCGAAACUGACACAACCUCCAUUAGGAUUGGCCAUUUCAUCCUCAGUGUACUUGGCAGUGAUUUUUUUCUUGACUAAGGAACUGGCACAGGAGCCUCGCUAUUCAUCACAUCCUCCAGCUGCUGUCCAUGCACAUGUUUGGCCUCCCCAGUGAAAGCCUUCAAGAUUCAUAUCUACUCUUAAUCACUUCUGAGUUCAUGCUGACUUACAAAGUUCUCUUGUAGCAUAUUCCAAGGCAUGGAAAAUGCAAGAGUUCUGAAUGAUUCAGCUGAAUAAAAGUAUCACUCACCUCACCAACAGCCAAGCUGCAUGCCAAAGAUAAAGUUUACAACACUACAAAUGACUGUUAUCUUAAGUUAGUCACUCACAUGGGAUCUCUCUCUCUCUCUCUCUCUCUCUCUCUCUCUCUCUCUCUCUCUCUCUCUCUCUCUCUCUCUCUCUCUCUCUCUCUCUCUCU